CACGUAGGGUGCGAGCGUUGUCCGGAAUUAUUGGGCGUAAAGAGCUCGUAGGCGGUGUGUCGCGUCGGCCGUGAAAACCUGCAGCUUAACUGUGGGCUUGCGGUCGAUACGGGCAUCACUGGAGUUUGGCAGAGGAGACUGGAAUUCCCGGUGUAGCAGUGAAAUGCGUAGAUAUCGGGAGGAAUACCGAUGGCGAAGGCAGGUCUCUGGGCUAUAACUGACGCUCAUGCACGAAAGCGUGGGGAGCAAACAGG
rnacentral:rRNA from 1 species